UACGUAGGGUGCAAGCGUUGUCCGGAAUUAUUGGGCGUAAAGAGCUCGUAGGCGGUCUGUCACGUCGGCUGUGAAAACCCGAGGCUCAACCUCGGGCCUGCAGUCGAUACGGGCAAACUAGAGUACUGCAGGGGAGACUGGAAUUCCUGGUGUAGCGGUGGAAUGCGCAGAUAUCAGGAGGAACACCGGUGGCGAAGGCGGGUCUCUGGGCAGUAACUGACGCUGAGGAGCGAAAGCGUGGGGAGCGAACAGG
rnacentral:rRNA from 1 species